UCUUCCGCUCCACCCGAAAACAGCACAUUGCCCCCAGAUCCCUCAUGGACAAGUCAGUCAGUCUCGGUUGUAUGCGUACCAUGGGACUCCACAGAAACCGUGUGUCCUGCGCUGGGAAGAGCUGCUUUGGCAUAGAUGUUUACUUGGAUUCAGAUAAAGAACUGGGCAACAAUCUUGGGAAGCUUUCUGAAGCUUAUGAGAAUCUGAAGGGAUCUGGAGGAGAAACAGUAACAAAGACUGCCUGUAUGUCUUUGAACGUGAAGCACAUGAAUCCUUUUGCAUUUGCAAACAAAAGAAGAGCAAAGAGCAUUUCACUCAUCAUCCAAGUCUACAAAGAUUAGCCCGCUG